UACGUAGGGUGCAAGCGUUGUCCGGAAUUAUUGGGCGUAAAGAGCGCGCAGGCGGUCGUUCAAGUCGCGUGUGAAAGCCCCCGGCUCAACUGGGGAGGGUCACGCGAUACUGAUCGACUCGAAGGCAGGAGAGGGUAGUGGAAUUCCCGGUGUAGUGGUGAAAUGCGUAGAUAUCGGGAGGAACACCAGUGGCGAAGGCGGCCAGCUGGGCCGUCCCUGACGCUGAGGCGCGAAGGCGUGGGGAGCGAACGGG
rnacentral:rRNA from 1 species